UCGAGAAUCAUUCACAAUGGGGGAAACCCUGAUGGUGCGACGCCGCGUGGGGGAAUGAAGGUCUUCGGAUUGUAAACCCCUGUCAUGUGGGAGCAAAUUAAAAAGAUAGUACCACAAGAGGAAGAGACGGCUAACUCCGUGCCAGCAGCCGCGGUAAUACAGAGGUCUCAAGCGUUGUUCGGAAUCACUGGGCGUAAAGCGUGCGUAGGCUGUUUCGUAAGUCGUGUGUGAAAGGCGCGGGCUCAACCCGCGGACGGCACAUGAUACUGCGAGACUAGAGUAAUGGAGGGGGAACCGGAAUUCUCGGUGUAGCAGUGAAAUGCGUAGAUAUCGAGAGGAACACUCGUGGCGAAGGCGGGUUCCUGGACAUUAACUGACGCUGAGGCACGAAGGCCAGGGGAGCGAAAGGGA
rnacentral:rRNA from 1 species